rnacentral:lncRNA from 1 species
CCCUGCGCGGUCCUCCUGCAAGAAGCGGUGGCAGAGAAGGUAAGCACCCGAGACCCAGCUCCUUGAAAUCUAAAGACAAAGAUCCCCUUGGGUCUUCUCUCAUGUGGUGACUGGAAACAGAACCUGGCCGAUCGUACUGGUUUACUUCUCCUUCACCUGGAAAAUCCCAUCUUUACUAUGUGAAAGCACACUUGGAUCCUUCCCUGAGACCCCACUUGCAGGAUCAUCCUGCAACUCACUGCCAAAGGCUGUGCUGAUCAGUUCCAGGAAAUACACUGCAUCUGCCUUGCAGCUACCAUUGAUGCUACCAUCUGGCAAAGCUCAGCAGAGAAGACUCUGCAACCAGUGUCCUGAGGAGGACUUCAUGGAGCCGGAAGUGUGGGAUGCUGUGGGGCUCAUUUGUUGUGCACACAUGAGCCCCUUGCAAAGGCACAGGAAAUAAUAUGUGGACAACUUUGAACAAUGCAGUGACAAGAGCCUGGACACCCUGGGUAGAGGUCUCCAUCUCUCUGUACCUAAGAUCUCCCCAGCUUUCACCACCAAUGUUCAAUCGGCUGGCAUUAAGGUCUCUAUCACAAGUGAUCUCUUCUCUUCUCCCAAUGCCUCUGUAACAGUAUUCUCAACAACUGUUCUAUCAACAUGUUUGGAAGAUACCCUUUCAGAAAAUGGAGCCCAGGUCCUCACCCUGGA